AUUCUGCCUGCUUACCCAAUCAAUCCUUAUUCUGCAUUUCUUUCAGGAACACACAAACAGCUGCUAAAGAAGGCAUGGAGGUUAUCAUGCAGUGCUGUUCUCAAGGUCAGCCCACAAAUCUGAAACAAGACAAAUUACAUAGAGUUGGUGUAACAACAUUGCCAGUCACUACCUUAUUUUAGUGCAAAAAAGAUUUUAUAAAAUAUUCAUUCUGAAAUUCAAAACCCUACAGUGCUGAAUCAAACGUUUCUAAAACAACAUCUCCAGGUAGAUAUGCUUCCAAAAGUGUUGUGUUAUUAUUUUUUUUCUAG
rnacentral:lncRNA from 1 species